CUCAACGAUGGAUAUCUUGGUUCCCAUAACGAUGAAGAACGCAGCGAAGUGCGAUAAGCAAUGCGAAUUGCAGAACCGUGAGUCAUCAGAUCUUUGAACGCAACUGGCGCCGACCGGUCCUCCGGCCGGCAUGCUUGUUUCAG
rnacentral:rRNA from 1 species